GUGAGAAAUCAAUUUUUUUUUUUGAAAAUCCCCCUAAACAUUGGGUACACCAUACACCCGCUCUAUUGAAAAUUUAUAGUAUGGAAAUGUAUUGAACUCUAGAUAUCGAAAAAUAUGUUUUUAGUGAACUACCUAAUAUUGAAUGUACGAAACCAAGAGGAGUGAAUAGGUUAUUUUCUAUUUUAAACUUGAUUUUAUUAUUCUCUUGUAAAUAUGAAGGUUGCAAGUAAUAAAUGUGUAUGGUAAGAAAGAUAACACCAUGUAUAAAGUGACUUAGGUGGAUAUUACGAAAACCAUCUUACGUCCGUUUCUCGAUUUUCAACAGAGUUUAUUCUUCAAUGUAUCAAUGUUUAUGGUAGUGAUUAUCGAAUCUCGUCUCACCAAUAUGUAAUAGUUAUGAUUAUCAAGUAUCGUCUAGUAAAGAUCACAAUAUGAGUGUUUUAUGGAAAUUUUUAAUUAAUCUCACACAACCUCUUCUCUUGAUUUCUUAAUCUUAUAUAAAAAAUAUGGAGAAUGAAAGAUAAUCAAGAUCACUCAAACAAUAUGUGUAUAAAUUAGUUUAGUUGUGCAAAGGUGCCAAGACUGUAUUAGUGCUUUCUUUGCCCAUGAAUUAAUGCAAAUUUUUGGUACACUUAUUUUCUACCUUAUAUAACAUUCCUAACCGAAACUUGGGAAUUAAAUUCAAAACAAUUUGGGAAUUUUUAUAUAUAUGGAAUGAUGUGUAAAUUUCCGUCUUAGGUAAGAUGCAAAAAAGCACGUUGCUUGCAUUCCAUGCAAGUAGCUAUGUUGGAAAUACUCUUGAUAUAGAAGAUUUCUAAAGAUUUUGACAAACUUGGAUAAUUUUAUACUAGUAUUAUAAAAUCUAAGAAUUAAUUAUUUCUAUUUUUUUUUUGGUUUUGGAUUUUUAAAAGUUGUUUUUACGUGAACAUAACUCU
rnacentral:lncRNA from 1 species